rnacentral:rRNA from 1 species
GACGAACGCUGGCGGCGUGCUUAACACAUGCAAGUCGAACGGAAAGGCCUGCUUUCCCUUUUGGAGUUCGUGUACUCGAGUGGCGAACGGGUGAGUAACACGUGAAUGAUCUGCCCCCAACUUGGGUAUAAGCCUGGGAGACUGUGUCUAAUUCCCGAUAGGACUGCAGGGUUGUGCCUGUAGUGGAAAACGAUCUUCUAGUGGUUGGGGAUGAGCUGGCGGCCUAUCAACUUGGUGAUGGGGUAAUGGCCUACCAAGGCGGCGACUGGUAGCCGGCCUGAGAGGGUGGACGGCGAAAUUGAGACUGAGAUCCGACCCAGACUCGUACGGGAGGCAGGAGUGGGGAAUAUUGGAGAAUGGGCGGAAGCCUGAAGCAGCGACGCCGUGUGGGGGAUGACGGCCUUCGGGUUGUAAGCUCCUUUCGAACGCGAGGAAGCCACCUGGUUGGAAGGGUGGUGACGGUAGUGGUAGAAGAAGCCCCGGCUAACUACGUG